rfam:Schistocephalus solidus strain NST_G2 genome assembly, scaffold: SSLN_scaffold0006263
UAACUUACCUGGCAUCGGGUUCAGGGUGAUCAGCAAUGCUCUGACCCCAGGUGUAGGCUUGCCAUUGCACUCCGGCGUGUUGAAGCCUGCGACGGACUCUAAUCGGGUUCGCUCGGGUGUGUAGUUUUUGCCAGUGGGGAGCCCUCAGGCAUCCCUC